rnacentral:rRNA from 1 species
GACGAACGCUGGCGGCGUGCUUAACACAUGCAAGUCGAACGGAAAGGCCCUGCUUUUGUGGGGUGCUCGAGUGGCGAACGGGUGAGUAACACGGGAGUAACCUGCCCUUGACGUGGGGAUAACUUCAGGAAACUGGGGCUAAUACCGGAUAGGAGCUCCUGCUGCAUGGUGGGGGUUGGAAAGUUUCGGCGGUGGGGGCUGGACGCGCGGCUUAUCAGCUUGUGGGUGGGGUAGUGGCUUACCAAGGCAUUGACGGGUAGCCGGCCUGAGAGGGUGACCGGCCACAUGGGGACUGCGAUACGGCGCAGACUCCUACGGGAGGCAGCAGUGGGGAAUAUUGCACAAUGGGCGGAAGCCUGAUGCAGCAACGCCGCGUGCGGGAUGACGGCCUUCUGGUUGUAAACCGCUUUCGCCUGUGACGAAGCGUGAGUGACGGUAAUGGGUAAAGAAGCACCGGCUAACUACGUG